rnacentral:rRNA from 1 species
UACAGAGGUCCCAAGCGUUGUUCGGAUUUACUGGGCGUAAAGGGUGCGUAGGUGGCGAGGUAAGUUCGAUGUGAAAUCUCCGAGCUCAACUCGGAAAUGGCAUUGAAUACUAUCCCGCUUGAGGGUCGGAGGGGAGACUGGAAUUCAUGGUGUAGCAGUGAAAUGCGUAGAUAUCGUAAGGAAGACCAGUGGCGAAGGCGAGUCUCUGGACAGUUACCGACGCUGAGGCACGAAGGCCAGGGGAGCAAACGGG